AGUUGGAUGGUGUAACGGUUAGCACGGUUCGUUCACACCGAACAGAUCCGGGUUCGAUUCCCGGUCCGACUA
rnacentral:tRNA from 1 species